UGAAAAAUCUGUCGAUGUGCCCUUGAGCAAGGAACUUAACCCUAAUUGCAUCUGUAAAUCGCUCUGGAUAAGAGAGUCUGCUAAAUGACUAAAACGUUAACUCAGGAAGAAUUGUUCACUACUCUCAUUGACUUUCCAACCCCUGGUCUGUUUAAUCUGCUUCGGAAGUAUCGUGAUGUUGGGCACCAAGGUAUAUAAGAUGGUGGAUGAAUGAAGAUAGUUCACUCAGGCUGUUUACCAUUGAACAAAAAAUAAAAAAGGAUAUGUUCCGGGUUAUUUAAGGGGGUGGCUCUCCCAUAGACACCAAUGCGAUGGUAACUGGGUCUCUGGUCUUCUUAGAUCAUUGACUUCUAUUAAAAAUGAGGGAGUGGGAUGUCUCGCUUCCUCCUCCGUCUCUGGAGACUUCGCAACAGUGUGUCAAGUGGCUCUGGACGUUGUCAAAUCAAAAUUUGCGCGGGGAAGCUGCGAAUAUAAUAAGAAAAUAGUGGAUGAUUUAUAAGAACGGCAUACGACAUUGUACUGGCUAAACAUGUCUAAGCGAGAGGCAUUUUUAGACUCCAUCUGCAAAGACAAUGUGGGGGAAUUUCUCAUUUUCACUAAACUCCAUAAGGACACGGCUGAGCCCUUUGACCUGGAUGAGGUCCUGCAGGAGCUGCCAAAGGGCCAGAGAGAGGCACUGUGGGCCCGACUAGUCACACUACUUUGUGACCAGCUGGCAGCCUUCGCACCAGAGCACUGGGAUGCUGGCUUAGAGGAGGACAAGCAGGACAAUGACAUGGAGGUGGUGUCCCCAGACCGGACACACACCAUGUCUGUCCUUGAGGGAGUGACUCUAGUGGUCACAGCUUCUGUGGACGUCAUUGAGGAUGGCGACACCUACAAUUCUCUCUUAGAGUGUGGCAACAUAUUAAAUGGUGUCCUGCCUUACCUUCCUGCCUCUGAGAUGCCUCUGCGGCAGGCUAUCCACGGUCUGUGCGAGGCUUGGUGGAAGAAAGGCCUCCUUGGUAAAGAAGAGCUGGGCCGCACAGCCUUCCUUGGAAGCCUGGAGAAGACCCUCAUACUGAAGAAACCAGGGGCUGAGAUCCAACGGCUUUGGGGUUUCCAUGAAGUGCUGUUCACUGUGGACUUUGCGUCGGAGUGCAGCAAGGAGCUGAUCGAUCUGCUGCUACAGUGCUUCCUCAGUGUCAAUCACAUUAAAAACGAAGAUGGGAAGCGUCUGAUGGUCUUCCUCUUUAGCUGGAAUGUCAACUUCAUCCGGAUGAUCCAUGGAACCAUCAAAAACCAGCUACCUUACUUUGCAAAGCCCCACACUGACCACAUAGCUGAGAUCUACUGCCGGGCCUGGAAGAAGGCUUCUGGGGUCUGUCUGGAGCAGAUAGAGAGCACGUGCAUCCAGGACUUCAUGCAGCACGCUGUGCUCCUGCACAGGACUUCACCCGUCCAUGCCAAAGUCAGACAGAUACUGAGAUACUUUCACAAACGGAAGGGCCGCAAUGGGUUGGAUGAGAUGCUUUACAGACUCUACAAGCCCAUUCUCUGGAGAGCGCUAAGCGCUGCCAACUCUGAGGUCCGGGCCAAUGCCACUCUGCUCUUCACCGAGGCCUUCCCUAUCAACAAUCCUAGCCAGAGCAGUGAGAAGAUGGACGAGACCAUCCAGAAACAACUGGACACGCUGGUCUGCCUGCUAGAGGACCCUCAGCCUCUGGUGCGCUCCACAGCCACCCUCGGGGUCUGUAAGAUCCUGGCCAAGUGCUGGGAGGUCAUCCCCCCCACUGUCAUCAUCGACUUCCUCAAGAAGCUUGUGGUAGAGCUGGCCAAUGAUACCACCUCCCCCGAUGUCCGCUGCUCCGUCUUCAAGUGUUUGACCAUCGUGCUGGACAAUGGCCACAGUCACCCGUUGCUGGAGCAGCUGCUGCCAGCUCUGAAGAACAGCCUCCAUGACACCUCGGAGAAAGUACGCGUGGCCUUCCUCAACAUGCUGCUCAAGAUCAAAGCAGUGCGAGCUGCCAAGUUCUGGAAGGUGUCCUCCAUGGAACACCUGCUAGCCCGUCUGGCCGUCGACUCGCAGCCUGUCUCCAAGCGCAUCGUCAACCUCCUCUUCAAUUCCUUCUUCCCCGUCAACCAAUCAGUGGAGGUGUGGUGCGAGCGCUGCGUCACUCUGAUUCAGAUGAACCCCAAGGCAGCUAGGACUUUCUACCAGUAUGCACACAUCUACACAGCCCCCACUAACAUAGUCAAGCUGAUGCUGAUAAUCCGCCAGUGUUUGAACGCCUGCAUCCAGACUGAAGACCUGAACGAGACCAAAUCGAACAAGGAGAACACAAGUGUUCUGGAGCAUGUCCUGUCGGUCAAGGACACGGCGUCCAUGGCCAGUCUGCUGGAGGUGGUGGUGAUCUUGUGGCGGAGCAUCCGGAAAGCCCUGGAGCUCAACAAGGACGCCCUCCAGUACACCACUGCCAAGUUUGGCUCCGUUGUGCCCAAGUACUUCAAUGUCUUCCAGGAGGAGCGUUCCACAGUUCCCCUCAUCCAACUGGCCUCCCUACUGCCCCCAGCUUCUGUCCCCACUUUCAGCUGUGGGGUGCUGUCCAGGCUGAAGAGGCUGGAGGCGGGGGCCAAGGUGUCCCAGUACAGUCAGAUCAUCGAGUGCCUGUGUAGCUGGGGCCAGGCUGCACACGUCCUGGAGCUCAUCACAGACUGGCUCACUGAUGCCUUACCCACCCCUGCUGGCAAAGGGAACACCAGUCGGAAAGUGCGCAUCAAGGAGACGAUGGAGGCCAAGCCAGACCUGGGGCUAGAUUACCUGGAGUACCUGGUCAGUCGUACCUCCACGCGGGACUGCAUCCUGCCCUUCUGGCAGGGCCAGCUCAAACAGCUGCACAAAGCCCUCGGGGCCUGGAAGUCAGUGCUGUUAUCCCAUCUGAGCUCUUCUGAGGCCCAGGCGGAUGUCCCCAGAGCAGAAACGGCACUAAGAGCAUUUGCCCUUCACGCACGUCUCAGUGCCCAUCUACAGCACAAAUUCUCGGAGGGGAGGGAUUUCCUUGUCCCUGUGGAGAACACGGCAGCGUGGGUGGCAGAGAGGGUGCUGCCCUUCCUGGUCGGCCCCAGUGAGGGAGGGGUCACUGAGCAGCAGCGGGACCUCGCCAGGCAGGUAGUAGAGUGUUUCCUGACGGUGAGCAGAGAUGUGAUCCGGGUGGGCCUUGGGGACGAGGAGUUCAAAGGGCAGGUCCUUCACCUGUGCUCCAUCGUGCUCCUCUCUGAGAAGGGCUACCUGUGUGUUCCUCUGCUGCUCUUUGUGCUGACGGAGGUGGCGGAGAACUACGUCCCCGAGAACCAGGACAACCAGUCCUCCAUCAUCCUCACCGUCGUCACCAACGUCUUCCAGAAGAUCCUGGAGGUCAUGGCUCGCUGCUUGAGGAAGGACCCCGAGGAGGGCCAGGAGCUGUGGCACUUGGCUGUUACCGCUCUAGGAGACUUCCUCCAGGUGGUUCAGGCUUGGUCGGGCAUCGGCUCCAACCCCCUAAACGGGGUGUUUUCAACCGUCUGUGCUGCCACCCUUGCAGCGACCCAACACUCCCUGCAAAAGAUGUCACAUCCUCAAGAGGUCACAACACCAGAGACGGUCCAGGAUUUGCCUCCUCUCUCAAGCAUCUUGUUGAACGUUCUCCUCAAAUCGCCCCCGGUCACAAGAUUUUUUUUCCCACACAAAAAGGAAGAACGAGGAAGAACAGACACCAAACAGUCAACCCCACACGAGCCUUUCUGGCAGAGAUCAUCUCAACUGUCGACUCAGAGGUCAUUGAUGAUCUGACCGGAUUGGCAGCAGUUCUUCACAUUCUGGCAGUUGUCAGACAGACUGGGAGGUUUAAGGCAGAUCUGAAGAGUACAGCCGUGUCCGUCCAAAGACGGCUUCAGAAACAUUACGCUGUCACGGCUGAGGACGAAGGACACAUCCAGAGGGUAAUCUACGAAUCCGCUAUCAACACUUUGAAUGAGAUUCUGAUGCCAUGCCCAUGAGGGGGCAAGAGAACCUCAUUUACAUAUUUAACAUUUACUAAUUGUUUCUUUGUUGCCAGUGUCAGCUAUUCCUCUGUUCUGUUGUUUCCAAGCUCUUCUAUUCUGUGUGAUCAUGGUGUAUGCAGCAUGACUUGUAUUUGCGCUUUGGAUUGAUGUAUUGCGUCCGUAUACUCUAUGCUGCAUAAACUGAACUGUGUGUAACAUUGCUAAGUAGCUGCUAAAAAUACAUUUGAAAUGUGAGUUUCAACCGUGUCUUUGUGGAUUCUCUCUAAAGGCCUCCACAAAUCACUUACACUGCCACAUGUUUUAGUUUAACUUAUAGUACAUAUUUGCACUAUUUUUAUUGAAGGAAAUAUAGUUUGUUUAGUUAUGCUCCACCACUGGCAGAGAAGGUUAGUUUCUGUGGCUAAGGAGGAAGGACGAGAAUGAAGAACUAAAGGCCAGCUGCAGGGGAUGAAAGGCAGACGUCCCUGCCACUGCUCCGCCACCAGGAGACGUACCGGGAUAAGGAGAGUAACAUUGAGGAGUGGUGGUCCCCGGGUGAUGAUCCUCUGGCUGGUUUACAGGCACUGCUGGAGGUGCAACAGGCAGAGAUGCCCAGCAGAAGGUUACCACCUAUCUACCUGUAUAAAGUAUGUGUAUCAUAUUGUAGUGAAUAGAGGGUAGCCCCGACUGGGACUAGAACCCAUCAACUGUCAAGCCAACACCUUUAACCGUUGUGCCAAGAGGUCCGAACUGCUUGAUGAAGUUGCAAGGUGUUGUGCUAAGGUUGCUACAAUAUGCACUUAUUGUUUGAACAAUUUAUUGAUGAAAUAUAGUUGGUAUGCUUUUAGUUAUGUUCUAUCCAACACAAACGCUCCAUGACAUUUCAAUGCAUGUAUGAACUCUGUAUAACCUGAGUAGCCAUGCUAUAUUAUGGUAUUUUAAAAUUAUUCUGCCACUGUUUAUACAGCCUUACAAUAAACACAUAUAUGAACUUG